GCUGGGUGCAGUGGCGCACGCCUGUAAUCCCAGCGCCUGAGGAGGCUGAGGCAAGAGGAUCAGGUUCAAAGCCAGCCUCAGCAACAGCAAGGCAGUAAGCAACUCAGUGAGACCCUGUUUCUA
rnacentral:sRNA from 1 species